GAUGAACGCUGGCGGCGUGCCUAAUACAUGCAAGUCGUGCGGUUCUUUAAUGAUCUUUUUGGCUUGCGGUUUUUACUCAUCAUUCAGAUGAGCAAAAGCCGCAGGUCGUAUCAUAUUGAAUAGCGGCGGACGGGUGAGUAACGCGUGGGAACGUACCCCAGACUGAGGAAUAAGCACCAGAAAUGGUGUCUAAUACCGCAUAACCUCUACGGAGAAAAGCUUUUAGCGGUUUGGGAACGGCCUGCGUCCGAUUAGCUUGUUGGUAAGGUAAAGGCUUACCAAGGCGAUGAUCGGUAGCUGGUCUGAGAGGAUGAUCAGCCACACUGGAACUGAGACACGGUCCAGACUCCUACGGGAGGCAGCAGUAGGGAAUCUUCCACAAUGGACGAAAGUCUGAUGGAGCAACGCCGCGUGCAGGAUGAAUGCCUUCGGGUUGUAAACUGCUUUUAUGGGUGACGAUUAUGACGGUAACCCAUGAAUAAGGAUCGGCUAAUUCCGUGCCAGCCGCCGCCGUAACAC
rnacentral:rRNA from 1 species